UGGGGAAUAUUGCACAAUGGGCGAAAGCCUGAUGCAGCAACGCCGCGUGAGUGAUGAAGGCCUUCGGGUUGUAAAGCUCUGUCUUUUGGGACGAUAAUGACGGUACCAAAGGAGGAAGCCACGGCUAACUACGUGCCAGCAGCCGCGGUAAUACGUAGGUGGCAAGCGUUGUCCGGAUUUACUGGGCGUAAAGGAUGCGUAGGCGGAUUUUUUAAGUGAGAUGUGAAAACCCUAAGCUUAACUUGGGGACUGCAUUUCAUACUGGAAAUCUAGAGUGCGGGAGAGGAGAAUGGAAUUCCUAGUGUAGCGGUGAAAUGCGUAGAGAUUAGGAAGAACACCAGUGGCGAAGGCGAUUCUCUGGACCGUAACUGACGCUGAGGCAUGAAAGCGUGGGUAGCAAACAGGAUUAGAUACCCUGGUAGUCCACGCCGUAAACGAUGAGUACUAGGUGUAGGAGGUAUCGACCCCCUUCUGUGCCGCAGUUAACGCAAUAAGUACUCCGCCUGGGAAGUACGAUCGCAAGAUUAAAACUCAAAUGAAUUGACGGGGUCAUAGCUG
rnacentral:rRNA from 1 species